UACAGAGGGGGCAAGCGUUGGUCGGAAUUACUGGGCGUUAAGGGCGCGUAGGCGGCCUGCUAAGUCGAACGUGAAAUCCCUGGGCUCAACCCAGGAACUGCGUCCGAUACUGGAAGGCUUGAAUCCGGGAGAGGGAUGUGGAAUUCCAGGUGUAGCGGUGAAAUGCGUAGAUAUCUGGAGGAACACCGGUGGCGAAGGCGACAUCCUGGACCGGUAUUGACGCUGAGGCGCGAAAGCCAGGGGAGCAAACGGG
rnacentral:rRNA from 1 species